ACUCCGCCUCUGAAAAAAUCAUUAAUCGGAAUCAGUGACGGAAUCCCAGAUUCCAUGGAGACCUCUGCCGUUAAAAACCCUAAAACCCCUACUCCCAAUUCCCAUUCCCCGACGUUUCUCCUCAACAACGGCUUCGGUGACGAGAUCAAGAUCUCUGACAUUGAGAUGGUCACGAUCCAGACUGUCUCAUACACCAACCUCAAGGACCUCCUCCCUACACCUCUCUGAUCUCUCUCUCCUCUUUCUCUCUCUAAAAACUUGAUCACAACAAAACCCACAUCCCAGAAUACGAUUCUGAGCUCCAAUGUCUAAGGACCCGUCUCAGCCUGACCCAGAAACCAUGCCAUUCUUCGAAGCUUUCAAGAAGUUGAAGCGUUUGAAGCCAUUGGAGCCGUCCCUGGUCUUGCUGUAGCUGAGUCGACUCGGCCAUUGCUGCAGCGAAGUCCAGAGUUGUAAGUAGGGUUUUUGAGGCCUUGGGUGUGGAUGACGAGGAAGGUGGCGGGCUAUCUCUCUCUUCUCACUCCUUCUCUCGCUUAACUUUUUCGAAUGUGGGGAUUUUUUUUUUUUUUUUUUGGAGUUUUAACGAAAAGCCAACGUACUGUUCACUUUAACGAAAAAUCAUAUUUUUACACUAAAAAGUCAAACCUGCUACUAUUCACUUUACCCUUUAUUUUGUCCUUAUCAUUAAAACUCAAAGUUUUCAAACCAUUUUCAUUAGUUUUCCCUUUUUUUUUUUCCUUUAAUUAAUAUUUUAAUUUUUUAUUAAGUGUUUAGCCACAUGACACAAAUGUGGCAGCCACCUCAGCACAAAUAGGGACCCCCAUAUUUGCCACGUCAUCAUUUAACGGUUUACUUAACAGAUUUUCUAAUGGAGGUAUGAAAUUGAAAUAAAAUGAUAAGUAAAUGUAUAAAAUUGAAAUAUUUUAAAGAUGUUGUAAGGAAUUGAAAUCAACCCCAAACUUGACGAGGUAAAAUGUAACUAACACUUCUUUUAUUUCUCCGUUUCCAGACUUUUUUAUGUUUAAUUUUAUAUUCUUAGAAAACAUUAAACUGGGUUUUAAAUCCAAUUGUAAAAUAUAGAACAGAUGACAGAUUUCAAUGGCAGUAGCACGAGUGACGUGGUGCUGAAAAAUCUAACUGGACUUGUUGACUGCUAAAUUAAAGAAGUGGUAAACCUUGUUUUGGUUUGUGGUUACAUGUAUGUUAAAACUUGGUUUCCAAUUUUCACUUAAGAGUUCAAUAUAUUUACAUUACUCACUAAUCCAGAAACUGACUUCUUUAUUAAAGGAGGAAGGGACAUACAUUAAAAUUAGAAAAUACAUACAAAGUCUGCUAUGUUGUAAAAUCGACGGUGGGUGCAGUGGAAUAAAUGAAACAAGACACAAAAUUUACGAGGUUCCUCUACAGUCAGUGUGACUGGAGUACGUCCUCGGGGCAGCUGUGAUGCUUUCAUUAUAAUCUGAAAUAAUAGGAGUACAAAGAUAACUCUCUCUAUUAUCUCCUCUCAUCUUCCUCUAUUCUCUUUCUUCCUUUUCCUUCUCUCUCUUCCUCUUCCUUCCUUCCUCUCUUUCUUUCCCGUGAACUUCACUCACUUCAUUCAUCUUCUUCCUUUAUAUAAACAAAAGAAAGCACUAUUCACUUUACAAAUUUUCCACAAAUGAAUAGUGAAAAUACUGUGCAUAAAUAGUAACAAACUAUUCAUGUGGACCAUCCACAUAAUAUUUACAACACUCCCCCUUGGAUGGCCACAAGUCUUCGAUUGACUCGUUAAAAUCUUGAUCUGUCUUGGAUGCUCCCCCUGAUGAGUAUCUCCCCCUGAUCUCAAAUCAUUUAGGUUGAUCGUUGAUUGUUCUGCUUUAGUCUCUUAGUAAGAAGAAUUGCUAAAAGAGUUGCUUUACUUAUUGUUAACUUUCCACAGCCUUUUUCUUGAACUGGGUUGUAGGACUUUCUGCUAGACUAGCAUUGAAGAUCGGAAUUUACUCCUUUUAUCUGGAGCGGAAUUUGAUUCAAGAGUAAUGAACACUUGAUCUUGAAUCGGACUUGUGAUUUCUUCAAGGACCUUCGAUGCUUGAUCUUGAAUGAAAUUGGACCAUGAGGAGCUUCAUGUGGCAAGUGAUCUUCAGUUUUGUCAGGGAUGAAUCGGCACGCGUUUGUUGCGCUUGUCUCCACAUGCUUCAAUGUAUCAUUUUUACUUUCCUUACUUGCUCCCCUUGCUUAAGUAGUAUUUUCCCUGCUUUUCCCCCAUGCAUGUGUGGCAUCUUCUCCGGCAGUAUUUGCCCUCUAAUGCCGGAGUGGAGUGCAACCCUUGCAUUUGGAUGGUUCAUCACUUCUUGGUGACUGGAGACCCAGCUCCAACCGUUGAAGAUGACUACUCGAGAGCAACAUUAGGUAAGCAAUCAGGAAAGGUUCCAGGCAGUCGGUUCCUUACCGGGAGUUUGAGUGGAGGUUUCGACAUAUUGCUUUCUUUAUCCUUGUCUUCGCAGGCAAGAACAUGGACAAAGGAAAUGACAGGGAGAUUGCAUGAUAUGAGAUAAUCUUGCUCUGGUCCCUGAAGAUAUGUGAUAAUCUUGCUCUGGUGUGACAUUUUUGAAGAGGUAUUCUCGGAGAGGAAGAAAACUGAGUAUUUCGAGAUGCUAUGUUGAAGAUGCAUUCUCGGAGAUGAGGAAGAGUUAGGUAUUCUUGCAGUGUUGCGGGUCUGCCUUGUUAUGGAGAACAGAGGUCGACAUAUAUAGAGAUUUCUCAAUAGCAAGUGGUGGUGCUGUGCUUUUACUCUUGUCAGCAACUGUGGUGUAAAUAGAACAGUAAGAUUUACGCGUUUUCAACUUUGUCAGAGAUCUUUGACAAAAUUGCAUGCGACAUCUGAAAAAGUUGGGAUUACGUCUGAAAAAUGCCAACGAACUUUAUUCAGGAAAAUCUGGCUUUUGAAAUUCGGAGAGCGGUGCCUCUUCGAUCUUUGAACAAGUGGCUCUGCUGCCUCUUCUUUUAUAGAGACAUCAAUUGUGUUCAAGGGUAUGCUCAGAAAAUUGCUGCCUGAGAAAUUUCCACCUUCUUGCACUUCUGAAAUUUUAUUUGACCUCUGUUUUUUCCUUCAUCAUUUCUGAAAAAUGACUUGCCCAUCUAACAUUUGCUUAGAUUUGAGUCUUAGGAGUGAUACAGACGAGCAGCGUCAGGAUAAUAUAUGGCGCCCGUCCUUCUUAUCUUCUAAUGGUCCUCUUACGGUUGGGGACUCUAUGAUGAAGAAUAACAUAACCGCUACUGUGGUAGCUAGGAAUCUUCUCACUCCAAGGGAUAACAAGAUCCUUUCAGAACGGUCUGAAGAGUCGGCCAUUCAAGACUCCUUGGCUCUCAGUGUUCAGUGUGCUGGCUCUGUGUCCAAUAUGGGCCAACGCCUACUUGCUCAAACUCGCCAAGUUGAAUCAUUGAUGGCGGAGGUGGCAAGUCUUAAACAAGAGAUCAGAGGGCUCAAGCACGAGAAUAGGAUGUUACACGUGCUUGCAAAUAGUUACUCUACGAGCAUGAAAAGAAAGCUCGUCCAACUGCAGGAAUCCGAAAGUCGGAUUCAAAGUGAUCACCAGAGAUUCGUUGCUAGAUUCUGAAAGCAACUGAUGCCUUCCCCUUCUGGUGUUUUGCUAAGUACUGGGGUGCCACAUGAUCAAUCUCCAGUGCCUCCCCCUUCUGGGGUACUUCCGAGUACUGAGGCUUCACAUGAGCAACCUUUGUGAAGGCUCCAUCCUGUUUGUUUGUUUUAACUCAUGUGUAUGUAUAUAUCUGUAAUUUCUUGGAGAUAUUAAUAAAUAAGUUUUAUUUCAUUCAAUGUAUUGUGCCAAAUACAAUAAAGCAUAUACUUCACUAAGAUGUGGUACUUCUGGACCAAAUAUUAAUUUAUCUUUACCCUCACGAAGAUAAAUGAUUAUUCUUAGUGUCUUCAUCAUAUGAGUAUUCAACUCAUAAUCUUCAAUCCAUAUGGUUCUUUUAAUAUCAUAAAUAUCAUGGAUAAGAUUCGUGUUGGUAGAUUGUUCGAUCUGCAGCUCGAGACAAUAAUUCCUUCAACACUUUAUAAUUUUUCUAGACUCUUCAGGAGUCCCAAUUUAAUAUCAUCAACUCUUCAAGAGUUAUAAUUUAAUGUCAUUGACUCUUGCAAGAGAUUUUAGUAUGUUGCAACAAUAUCAUAAUGAUAGUACUCACUAAGGCAAUUUAUAUAAUCCAUUGGUAUUGAGUACAUAUUUUAUGUUUUACCCUUCAGAGGCUUACUUCAAGCAAUUUGAAUCCUUCAAGGGUUUUCUACACUUCAUGAUACAUUUUCCUUUGGAAUUUUAUACAGAGCAAUUCGCUCCCAUGUAUACUUGAGGGAUUUACUUAUGGAGAUAUGAUGUGGGCGACUCACAACCCUUCGUAUAUAAUUCUCCAUUUAUAUGAACUCGUUUACAACCUUGUGUCAUAUCAUGUAAGUGUAUUACACUGUAUUACAAAUGCCCAUAUAUAACCUCCUUGGUUCAACAUCUUUUGGCUAUUUGUAUUGUAUUCAAAUUUAUAUAGGUUCAUUUGCCCACGUUCUUACAAAAUUGUAAUGGAAUUGCCUUUCUCCAUUUUGGCCAAUAAUUUUUCUUUUGUCGACGAACAAAAGAACGUGACUCAAUAUUAACACAGUUCAUUGAUGAAUUUAGUAGCUACUUGUAAAAACCAAAAUUACCAUUGGUUAUCAUCAAUCCGUGAUCCCAUAUUCUCAUGUGCAUGCGCAUGCAUAAAAGCUUUUCAUUUCUUUGGAUAUUCAUUGCCUCUUCAAGGGCAUGACGCUAUCUCUUCCAGGAUAGUCAUAAUUGAGAGAAUGUGGAUCAUAACCUCCUCUUGAGCGUUAUAGAGCUUGGAUUUUCUCCACUUCCGGGAGUUGAGUCUUUGGAACCUAUACAUCUAUCAUGCUACAUGCAUGAGACAUCAAUAUUCCCAUGUCUGUGGAUUGUCCUAUCUGGGACGUGUAUCCAUGCGGCGACUGUCAUGCUUCUGGCAUGCAACAGUUAUGCUUCGGGAAUGCAAUAGUUCAGUAGUGCCAUAUUAUUCUUCUUUCGAAUAACUGAACCUUUUGAGUCUAAAAAUCUGCCACGCUUCAGGCGUGCAACAGAUAAAUCAUUUACUGUCUCAUUAUUUUAUCCAACAGAGACAUCAAUUCUUGUAGGCACAUUUGCAGUAAGUAUAUAUGAUUUCAUCACUUUCGUUGUAUCAUUCAAUUAUCCAUAUUUCAUUUUCUCAUUGAUUGCUUCGUGAAUCAAAAUAAGACAAAUUCUCUUCGUUCUUCUGGAACGGUCUUUUCUCAUCAUUCUUUUGGAAUGAUAUUUUCUCAUCGUUCUUCUGGAACGAUAUUAUUUUCUCCCCCUAAUGGCAGGAAAAUUGUCUUAUCAAAAUGACAGUCCGCAAACCAUGCGGUAAACAUAUCCCCAAUCAAGAAUUCCAAAUAUUGAAUGAUAGAUGGUGUUCAACAUCAAUGCCUAAUCUGCAAUGAUGCCUCAUUUCAGUACGUUGUGGCAGUCUUACAGGCACAUAGACAACACAACCAAAAACUCGUAAAUGUAUAAUGUUUGGUUGGUUCCAAACCCGAGUUGUACUGAGAAGUAUUGAUGGUCGGUAACAUGUCUCAACCGAAUUAAUAAUGCAUCAUGUAAAGUUUACAUAUCCCCAUGUAGAAAAUUGGCAAUUUCGUUUUCAUGAGCAGAGCGCGGGAAAUCAAUUUCAUUCGAUUAAUAAAGGCUUCUGCUAAACCAUUUUGAGUAUGGACAUAAGGAACUUCUGGUCCUUAUUUAAUAGUCUGUAAACUGAGACUCUUAUGGUUUUUAUUACAAUUAAGUUAAGGCACUGCGGCACUUCAAACUUACGGUACUCAUCUAGGAACUUCAUGUCCUGAUCUUCAGGAUCAAGGGACUUCAUGCCAGAUCCUUUUGUAUGAUGGAACUUCGGGUCCAAUCAUUUUAUAUGAUGAGGAUCAAGAAACUGCAGGUUCUGAUCUGAUCAAGGAACUUCAGGUCCUGUAUAUACUCAUAGUAACAAAAGAUAAGUACAAUAAAUAAAUUAAAGCAAUAGACGGUAAUUCCAGCCAUAAUGAAUAAAUUGCAUUUAAGUAAAUAAAGCUUGUGACAAGGGCUUUAAUUCAGCACCAUCAAAAACUUAAAGCAAUAGGCGGUAAAACCGUCCAUGGUAAAUAAAUUGCUUUAAAGUAAAUAAAGCAUGUGACAAGGGCUUUGAUUCAGCACCAUUCACAUAAAUAUCAAAGCUUUAAAGCAAAGGGUAAUAAUUCUACCCACUAUAAAUAAAUUGCUUUAAAUAAAUAGAACUUGUGACAUGGGCUUUAAAUCAACACCAUGCACAUAAAUAUGCCAAAACAGAAAAUGCAAUGAUUAAGUCCUCAUGUUUUGCUUUUUCAUUUUCUUGGUCUGCCACUUCUUUUUGUUUCAUCCCUUUUAUUUUUAUUAUUAUUUCACAGUUCGAAGUCAUUUUGGUUACUCAGUAAAUAAUAGUAACAAUAAGUUCCAAUUGGUGUUCCUCUUCCGGUGAGUUUCGAAAAAGUCGAAACGAUUCCCAUAAGUUUUGGAGUCAAGAGUGUCUGCAACUUAUGAGAAGAUCAAACCGAUAGAUUUAGUUCAAAAUUUAGUAUGAUAUGGAUAAGAGGAUACCAAACAACUUUCGUGAAGAAACAAUUUCGAUUUGAACUACCGAAAUGGUGUUUUGGUACUCAUAAGGUGGCUGCCCAGUUUUCUGCGGAAAUUGGAAACGGGUUUGGUAUUUCAGACAUCUGCGACGAUCGCACCGUUAACAUUUUCUGAAAUUUUGAUAUGUUGUAGAUACUGAGCAGACGAACAACUUUCAAGAAGAAAGUAUUUCAAUCCGAGGUCCGCAAGUUGGAGUUCCGAGGCUAUUUACAUGGCUGUCAAAUUCUCUUACAAAUUUUGAGUCUUUUACUCUUUUGCUUCUGCAAAAGAUGAUAUACAGUCAUAUAACAAUAUAUAUAGUUGCUUCAAGAAAAUCAAUUGUACUGAGAUUUGAAGAUGAAAUGAAAUUUUUUUCUUAUCUAUGAGAUUCCAGCUGGAGGAGGUGAACAGGAUUUGUGGCGUUGUGCUUUCCACUGACAUGAGAGCUUCUCGUGCUGAUAACGUGUUGUAAAAUCGACGGUGGGUGCAGUGGAAUAAAUGAAACAAGACACAAAAUUUACGAGGUUCCUCUACAGUCAGUGUGACUGGAGUACGUCCUCGGGGCAGCUGUGAUGCUUUCAUUAUAAUCUGAAAUAAUAGGAGUACAAAGAUAACUCUCUCUAUUAUCUCCUCUCAUCUUCCUCUAUUCUCUCUCUUCCUCUUCCUUCUCUCUCUUCCUCUUCCUUCCUUCCUCUCUUUCUUUCCCGUGAACUUCACUCACUUCAUUCAUCUUCUUCCUUUAUAUAAACAAAAGAAAGCACUAUUCACUUUACAAAUUUUCCAC
rnacentral:lncRNA from 1 species